rnacentral:rRNA from 1 species
UGUCUUUAAGAAAAUUAUUUAAAGUCCAAUCUGCUCACUGAAAUUUAAAGAGCCGCAGUAUUUUGACUGUGCAAAGGUAGCAUAAUCAAUAGUUUUUUAAUUGAAAACUGGAAUGAAAGAUUAGACGAAAUUUUGACUUUCUUUAUUUUAACAAAAUUGAAUUUAAAAUUUAAGUUAAAAUUCUUAAAUGUUUUUAAAAGACGAGAAGACCCUAUAGAUUUUUAUUAUUUAUAAUAAAUGAUAUAAAAUAUUUAUAUAAGAUAAUUUGAUUGGGGCGAUAUUGUAACAUAAAAAUCUUAAUUUUAUAAAACCAUCAAUAAUUGAAUUGUUGAUCUGAAAUUUUCAAAUAAAAGAUUAAAUUACCUUAGGGAUAACAGCGUAAUUUUAUUUAAGAGUUCAUAUCUAUAAUAAAGGUUGCGACCUCGAUGUUGAAUUAAGAAAUAUAUUGGAGUAGAAAUUAAUAAAAAUUAGUCUGUUCGACUAUUAAAUUC